GACAGUGUGAUGUAGUGGUUUGUACAUUGGACUAUGACUCUGAAGACCAGGGUUCAAUUCCCAGUUCAACCA